AAGACUAUAGACCUGCGGAGUACCUGCGGAGGGAUCAUUACAGAGUUGCAAAACUCCCAAACCAUUGUGAACGUUACCUUCUCGUUGCUUCGGCGGGCGGCCCGGGUCCUUCCCGGCGCCCCCCGGCCCCUCGCGGGCGCCCGCCGGAGGUAAACCAAACUCUUGAAUUGUAUGGCCUCUCUGAGUCUUCUGUACUGAAUAAGUCAAAACUUUCAACAAUGGAUCUCUAGAUCGGAAGAG
rnacentral:misc_RNA from 1 species